GAUGAAGAACGCAGCGAAAUGCGAUAAGUAGUGUGAAUUGCAGAAUUCAGUGAAUCAUCGAGUCUUUGAACGCACAUUGCGCCCCCUGGUAUUCCGGGGGGCAUGCCUGUCCGAGCGUCAUUGCUGCCCUCAAGCACGGCUUGUGUGUUGGGCCUCCGUCCUCCUCCCGGGGGACGGGCCCGAAAGGCAGCGGCGGCACCGCGUCCGGUCCUCGAGCGUAUGGGGCUUCGUCACCCGCUCUUGUAGGCCCGGCCGGCGCUUGCCGACACAUCAAUCUUUUUUCCAGGUUGACCUCGGAUCAGGUAGGGAUACCCGCUGAACUUAAGCAUAUCAAUAAGUGGAGGA
rnacentral:misc_RNA from 1 species